GGGAGGAGCGCCUUUUGUCUCUUGAGUGAGUAUAAACAAGUCGGACAGACUCAGGUGUUAGUCGACCUUUGAAGAGGUAUGCAAAUGUGUGCCGGUAAAAUGCCAAGGAUGCCUUUUGUUUGUGUUGGCGCUAUUUCAAGAUCAAUUACGUAAAUCAAAAAUAGGGCCUUGUUGAAAAAGAACAUACUGUACUCUAAAUUUAACAAGUCAUUACACCCACACAUUAACACAUUCCAGCUUAAUAACCUCUGGAUUGUUUCUGGAGGUUAUUUCAGAUAAAAAAGGUAGAUGACUUGACUGCGAAGGUAGAUUCAAGAAGUGAAAAAGAAAACAGAGUUUGGAGAGUACUUCUGCAGAAGUGGUGGACUACUGCUGACCUCCAGUAGCACUUUCAUACUUAGAGUCUGCUUCUCUCCCCGCUGAAAUCCCCCAAACUUUCCCCUCCGCCAAAUCUCUCCUCCAGGCUGCCAAGAUAAUGGUCUUUUCAGGCCUCCCGUGAUCCACACUCUGCUGCGGAUCCGCCGCAGCUGGUAAAGAGCUGCUGCCUUCCUGGCGGGUUGCAGUUUGCACCGGCCAGCCAUGUGUUCUGCCUAAUUGCUUUUCCAGAGGAGAGCGGAGGGCACUGUUAUAAAGUUGGGACAAGGAGGGCGCAGAAGAGGAUAGGAGAGAAAGAGGAGGAGGCGUAUGUGUGUGUUGGAGGGAGCUUUCUGGCCCAGAUGUGUGCAGUAGCAGUCGUCCCGGCGCACAUCUGCAACCGUUUGAACCUACUUGGGGAAUUCCUCUCUCACUGCGCGUCUCAGUGUAUUUUGUCCCGCUGAAUCCUCAUCUCGGGACAAUGAGUGGCCUGGCUGCCUCCCUCGGUUCUUCCUCUCAUAUUUCCCUCAGACUCCCCGACAGAGACGGCGUGGGAUCUUUUGUUUAAGGGACAUUUAAAGGGAAGUUAAAAAGAGCCGUGUCUCUCUCUCUCUAAAUAUAAAGCACAGACAUAACAAGCACUCGGUUGUGAGUCUGUGUUUGACAAAGAUUCAAAGCUUUCAACGAGUAAGAGACAGACCUCGACUUCCACAAAGAGACUCCAAAAAUGUAAACAGUAAUUUAAAUUUAACAUAGCUGCAAAGAGGGUUAAAUUUAACAAAGGGCUAAAUAUAUCUAUUGUUUUUCUCCUGCGUGGGUUUGUCAAAGCAAAACAAAAGCAGGGAGUUUCCUCUCUACCAGGAUGUCAGGAUAUUUCCUACAUUUGGGUUGUAAAGAUUGAGAACAAGAUCUUCUGACUGACACAUAUCUAACCACUAAUCAUUAUCUUUUCAUCCACCUGCUGCUCGUCCGUGAAAUCUAGGCCUGUUACAUGAACGGGUUUGGUUCCUCAUAACUCUCUGACAGCUCAGACGCUCAAAAAUUUGACCUUUUUCUUUUCAUGUUUUUUGUAGGUUGUAUAUGAUUGAACCUGACAGGGAUUGUCAUGAGAACAAAGAGACGACGGACGUUUUUAGCGUGGAGAUAACAGACAGACAGGCUGCGCUAUAAAUACAUGUGUUUUCCUUUCAGUUGUGUUUUCGCGCCGUCUUUCACUUUACAGACAGAUGACACAGAUUCAAUGACCUGCUGCACAGUUGCUACUUAAUGUUGGUGUUUAUUUUGGUUCAAGCUGCAAAAAUCUGUGUUUUUGCAUGCUGAAUUUAACAAUCAACCCAAUUUUCAAUCAAGCACAAGGGAUUUCAGCAUCUGUUAAUCACUGUUCUCAUCCAUAUCAAUCUCAGGAGGAGUUGGUAUCCAUUUUCAGCGUUGCCUCGCCAGCAGCAAACAUCAAAAAUAUGAAUUUAACCGCUAAAUUAUCAACUUAACUUGUUUAAAAUAAAUGCAUUUGAAUGAUUUUGUUAUUGAAAAACAAUCAAAACAGCUGAGAGUGGAUCCAAACAGGCGCAGAGGCCUUUUCUGUGUUCUUGUAGAGUUUAUAAUGUCUAAUCUGUGACAGACAGACGGCCACAAACUGAUCUUUUUGUCUUUUGACUCAGAGGGAGGUAGACAUAUUUACUGUUUCCACGUUUCACAGCCCUGUUCACACUGUUUGCUCUGUGUCAGAUCUGAAAUACAAGUGACAGACAGUGAGUCUGUGUUGGUGUGGGGGGGGGGCUGCUCUUUACAGAGGAAAGUACCUAAAGUGUACAUCUGGACUUCAGUGUCCUAUGCAGCAACACCCUCCUCCCAAACAGACUCCUCAUUCUGCAGAGGAUGUUUCACUACCGUUUAGCUCUGACCGGUCGUUAGUUACAUAAGCCAUUAUGAAAAGAAAAAGCAGCGGGGCCUCCACCCUGCAGAACGACAACACCCACUGACCAGUCAGGUCCAAAGGCCGGGGUCACGCUUGUCGCCGCUUGUUCCAGGAGGAAAUCAAAAACAAGUUGCAGUUGAGGAAAUUUAGGCGGAUAGGUUCUGACAGUAAGCAGCAGAUAAGUGAGAAAUUAACGCCUCACUCAUAAACUAAUUCAGCUCGUUACAGGAAUGAAUGCUUCUUCUAUUUUGACUGACAGAUUAGACACACAGCGGAGGAAAUACCAGAUUUUAAAUGUCAGACUAAAUGCCCAUCACAAAGAUUUGAGCCUCUUUAUGUCUCAUUUAUGCAGAGCCUAGGAGGUGACAUAAAUUUCCAUUUUUUUUUAAUCUGCACGUGCGAUUUAGUAUCUCGCAGGUGUGUUUUAUUAUAUCACAGGUGCAAUUUAACUGUUUGUUAAUAAACAAAAUCACUUCCUGCAAGUCAGAAUAUCGCAGACGGCAAAGUCACUGUGCUUUAAGGAUUCCAAUGAGGUUAGCUACAAUACCAAAUGUGGCUAAGCUAUAAAGUAUCUCUUUGUGAGUUGUACCUAAAUGACAGAAAAUGUCGAUGUCCUUAUUCUCUCACAAAUGAGGCGCGCUGGAGAUUAGUUACAAAAACCGCAUGCGCAAGAUACAAAUAAAAGGCAGGUACGAGAUACUGAUAAAACGCAUGUACGAGAUGCUAAAUCCCACAUGCGAGAUGCUAAAUGGCAUGUGAGAUACGUACAAAUGCAUGUCCAAGAUACUUAUAAUUUGCACACGCAAGAUACUUAUAAAACACACGUGCAAGACACUAAAUCGCACAUGCGAGAUACUAAAUGUGAGAUUUUACAAAUGCGACUACGAGAUGCUAAAUCACACGUGUGAAUUUAAAAAAAUAAAAGUUCAUGUCACCUCCCGGAUAUUUACAAAAAAAAAAAAAAAGCACGUCUUCAGAGGUUCAAUCGCCAAACGCUCAGCAGUCCUUAAAAGACAAAAAAAAAAAAAGGUAUUUAACAAACAUUUAUCAUUGCUUUUUCAAAAACAACAAAAAGGACUGUGCUUACUUUUAAAAAAAAAAAAAAAAUCUCUUUCCAAUUCUUAACAUGAGUCUGACAACAACGGAAACAAGUUUCCUGACUUUCCUGAAUUGUUGCUCUGAUGGUAGCAAAUGCUAACGUUAAUGAAUCAAUGCAACGUUAACCAAAAUGAUAGAAUAUGAUCUUAUAUGAUGAUACUGGACGAUACAAAAUGACAGGACUUUUACUAUAAGAUACAAAACGUUACAAUUUGGCAUGAAACCGUACAGCCCAAUACAAAAUAUGUUACAAUAUGUAACAAUCUCAUAUAAUCAGACACAAAAAAGUUGCAACACCACAGAAAUAAAAACCUACCGUAUGAUACAGUGUGAUAAGAUAAGAUACGAUGUGAUAGAAAAUGAUUCAUUUCUAUAAUGAGACAUGAAAGUAUGUUAUAUGCAAAUUAUUAGGAUGUGAAAUCAUACAGUACAAUACAAAAACAUGGUGAUUCAAUGUGAUACAAUACCACAAUGAUACCAAACGACCUGAUACGAUACAACAGGAUAAGGUAAGAUAUAUGUGAUGUAUUCAGAGGUGAAACUGGGGUCAACCUAAAACAUCUACAUCAGUUGAAUAAAACAAACACAAAUUAUACUGUCUGUAAAUAAACUCUAAGAGCCGUUUAACUGAAGAUGGAGAGCUGUUUCUUCUCAAAUUUAAGGUUUAUUCAACUUACAGUAAUGCAUACUUUUACAUUAAUAAGGUUUUGAUGACAUUUUUACCAAAGACAAAAAAACUAGGAUAGUAAUUUAUCAAUAAAUAACAAAUUAUAUGCACAGAAUGGUAUGCUGAGUGACUAAAGUUUGAUUUUAAUCUAAUUUAGCGAUUCAUUAUGUAAUUUUGCUGAUAAAAAAUGUGUAACUGUGUUUGUUUUGAGUCUGAAAUUGUGCAAACCAGGCUGAUGGGCCAGAAUCUAACAUAUAAGCACCAAAACAGAAAAGAAGCAAGACUAAGAGGAAGUUUGAAAUGUUUGACAAACGUAAGAGCUCUGCAGAAAAACUAAAAAUUCAGACAUUAUCAGACUGACUGACUGCAGAAUGACGGAAACAGUCCGACAAAAACUGAACAGGACUUUCCAGAGGUGGUUGUUGAGGAGGAUAUGUUCAGAUCAGACUGAGAUAAUUCUGAACUUUUUAACCACAAUGACACUCUGUUUAGCUAAAAUAAUGACGUAAACGUACUAUUUAUGCAAUGUUUUUCUUUUUUUACCUUGCAAUUUUGCAAUCUUGGAGGAGAAUGAGUGUCUACACUUUAAAAAGAAACUCUGCAGAAUGAUCUCAACGCUUGUUAGCCAGAGUCAGCUGAAGCCCUGAAACCCCCUAUUUUAACAUAUUCAGUCAUUUUUUAGAUAUUUUCUUUAUAUUUCCAACACCUGCAGAUCAAUCAAUGCAUGAGCUCGGUUCAGUUUGAAGCUGGUUUGUUUUCUAUAAGAGCUGCAGGUUGAGAGGUUGAGUUGUUGUAGCAUUGUUGUCUUUGUAUUUAGCCACCUGUACCAGCAGAAAGAUGCAGCGAGUGCCAGGGACUUUCCACAACCCUGUGUCUGUGUGUGAGCGCACACGUGUGUGUGUAUGCGCGCGUGUGUGUGUGUAUCAACUACUUUUUGACAGUCAAGUGUACGUUUCUGCUUUUGGGCGUAUGCAUGUGUGUGUUUGGGUGUGUGUCGGGCACUGUGUAGAGACUGUGAGUGUGGGAGUGUAGUGUGUAGCUGCAUGCAGAGGAGCUUUUGCAGCAGUCGAGGAUAUAUAACCAUGAAUAAAUGAUGAAGAUAAAUCACAUCCUUAAAUGUUGAUGUUUUAUUGCAUGCAAACUAGAGAUUUGAUUUGAUUUUAAUGGCCAAAAAAUGCAGUUUCAAGGAUGCAAAUGCAAAAAUGAGGCGAUACUCCUGACAUAUAAUAAAACAGCCUCAUAUGAAUGAAUGAAAUGCCUGUGACAGAGUUUGCCCUUAAAGUUUGCGUCUCAGUUGUGACCCGUUCUCUUUGUGUUUCUAAGCUGCAGCCCACGGAGGAAGCUAAGGCUAAGGGGGCGAGACAGCAGACCAGGCGGUGUUGGAAAUCCCCUUCCCUCAGCAGGCCUGCCUCGUCUGAGACCCACAGGGCCUCGCGGAGGCCCACAUCAAAGGGGCUGCUGCUGUUCUCAUCAUCCUCCAGCUUUCUGUCUUUCUAUAUGUCUCACAGUCCCUCUUGGUCUUCACCCCUCACCUCUAUCUCAGUUUCCUUUAUAUACAUCCAGGCUUUUUCACCAGCAGCACGUCCUUUUCCUCGUUUUAACCCUAGAACUCCAUCGCAGGGUGAUUUUCACCCGAGCAAACAUG
rnacentral:lncRNA from 1 species